GAUGAAGAACGUAGCGAAAUGCGAUACGUAAUGUGAAUUGCAGAAUUCAGUGAAUCAUCGAAUCUUUGAACGCACAUUGCGCCCGCCAGCACUCUGGCGGGCAUGCCUGUUCGAGCGUCAUUUCAACCAUCAAGCCCCAGGCUUGUGUUGGAGCCCUGCGGCUGCCGCAGCCUCCCAAAACCAGUGGCGGGCUCGCUAUCACACCGAGUGCAGUAGUUUACUCUUCGCUCAGGGCGUGUGGCGGGUGCUAGCCGUGAAACCCCCAACUUCUCAAGGUUGACCUCGGAUCAGGUAGGAAUACCCGCUGAACUUAAGCAUAUCAAUAGCGGAGGA
rnacentral:misc_RNA from 1 species